CACCUCUAGCAUUACUAGUAUUAGAGGCACUGCCUGCCCAGUGACAACUGUUUAACGGCCGCGGUAUCCUGACCGUGCAAAGGUAGCAUAAUCAUUUGUUCUUUAAAUAAGGACUUGUAUGAAUGGCCACACGAGGGUUUAACUGUCUCUUAUUUCUAAUCAGUGAAAUUGACCUUUCCGUGAAGAGGCGGAAAUAGUCCAAUAAGACGAGAAGACCCUAUGGAGCUUUAAUUGACCCAACCCAACAGAAUAAUACUUAACUCCACCAAGGACUAACAAAUAUUCUAACUGGGUUGUAGAUUUCGGUUGGGGUGACCUCGGAGCACAAAAUAACCUCCGAGAGCUAUCUACUAAGACUGACAAGUCAAAGUAAAUCUCUACAAUUGAUCCAGUCCCACUGAUCAACGGAACAAGUUACCCUAGGGAUAACAGCGCAAUCCUAUUCUAGAGUCCCUAUCGACAAUAGGGUUUACGACCUCGAUGUUGGAUCAGGACAUCCCAAUGGUGCAGCAGCUAUUAAU
rnacentral:rRNA from 1 species